CGCCGCUCGCUCGGCUCACUACGACUGCGACACCUUCGACGGAUGCCACGCCCGCGCUAGCUAGUUGCCGCCCAGCGCUGCUCGCCAGUGCUCCCUCCCUCUCUCCCUUCCUCCUCUGCUGCCUCCAUUGCUCCCCCAUGUUCUCCAAUGAGCCAAUCCUCUGUUUUUCCCCCACCAGAGAUGAGGACGGCGGCGACGGCUACGACGAGGUAGGUCGAUUUUUCUUUCUCCUCCUUUUCCUCUUCCAGAUCUGAGCUCUUCUCUCCUCCUCCUCCCGCUCUUCUAGAUCUGAGCUCUUCUUCUCUUCUAGAUUUGAGGGAUGCGACAGUGGCUAAGUUCCAACGAGCUCUAGGAUCAUAUUCUCUCCUCUCUUCGAUCCUCCCUCAAGUGAGCUCGAAGGUGAUGGGGUCAGGGGGCUCGAGCAGGCUACACCUCGGACUCAUACCCUAGCUGUUGUACGUCCUUUUUCUGCUAUUUCUUCUGGUUGCAAUGUGAGGCCUUGUUUAGUUCCAAAAAAUUUUGCAAAACAGACACUGUAGCACUUUCGUUUGUAUUUGACAAAUAUUGUCUAAUCAUAGACUAACUAGGCUCAAAAGAUUCGUCUCGUCAAUUCCGACCAAAUUAUACAAUUAGUUUUUAUUUUCGUCUAUAUUUAAUACUUCAUGCAUGCGUCUAAAGAUUCGAUGUGACGGUGAAUCUGAAAAAUUUUGCAAAAUUUUUUGGGAACUAAACAAGGCCUGGGUUGUUGCAAGAGAUGAUAUCAGAAUGGUGUAAUAGGAUUUUUGAGUUCUUGCAACUGAUGAUUUUCGAGAGUUUCCAUUACCCUGUUUUAUGGUUGAUUUUGUGUUGUUGCAGUACUACUAUUUAAGAUAUUAUAGUACACAUUUUCCAAUAGUGCAACAAAUAAUUUUCGAUGUUGCAGACCAUAUUUUUUGAUGUUGCAGUACAUGUUUUUUCGAUGUUGCACUAUAUAUUUUUGUGAUGCUACAAUACAUCAUUUUCGAUGUUGCAGUACAUAUUAUUUUUAAUGUUGUAGUAUAUAUUUCCUGAUGUUGUACUACAUAUUUUUGCGUUAUUGCAGCGUUUAUAUUUAGAUGUUUACACUAUAUAGUUUUUCCAUAUGUUUGUGAGGUUCCACUUGAAGUGUUUUUUUGCCUUGGGACAGUGGGGAAAUGAGGUGCGUUAGGGACGGGGUCAGGAACACGGUGCGAACGGAGGAUAGGGGCACAGUGGAUACAAUUUCAUUCAGUUCUAUUUUGUUUUUCGCAAGUAUUUCAUUAGCAUAUUUCGAGUGUUUCGACUGCUUCGCACUUAAUGUUGCAAGUGUUUUAUCUAGAUUUUCAAAAGUAUAUCUGGUGUUGCAAAUAGUGUGUUUCAUAUGCAAGUUUUAUAUGUUUCAUCUGCCUUUAGAAGUAUGUUGAAAAUGUUGCAUUUGGAUUGAAAGAGCAUCUAGGCCCCUAGUGAUUUCGGUGAUUAAUGACAUUAUUGAUUACUAUGACUAACGUAUGUUUUGCAGAGGCAAAGUCAUAGGUAAGGUUAUGGUAAAUAGGUACUCGAUGGACAGGGACGUACAUGCCAACUUAAUAGUGAAAAUCGUUUUGGUUUUCAAAGGAUGGAUGGACAUCGUCAAGACUAGACUAGGUCUAAGUGCCAUAUGGUGAAGAAGGGCACUUAGAGUAGUUUAGGACUUUGUUUUCCAUUGACCGUACUAUUAAGAGGGGCUUUGAUCUAGUAGCUUGACUUAGGCAAGGCUUUAGGUUUAGGUGUGGUGCACACUUGGUAAACCUAGCACUAGGCAGCUCAGAGAUAGUCCUU
rnacentral:lncRNA from 1 species